GACGAACGCUGGCGGCGUGCUUAACACAUGCAAGUCGAACGGAAAGGCCCUGCUUGCCGGGUACUCGAGUGGCGAACGGGUGAGUAACACGUGGGUGAUCUGCCCUGCACUUCGGGAUAAGCCUGGGAAACUGGGUCUAAUACCGGAUAGGAGCCAUUUUUAGUGUGAUGGUUGGAAAGUUUUUUCGGUGUAGGAUGAGCUCGCGGCCUAUCAGCUUGUUGGUGGGGUAAUGGCCUACCAAGGCGGCGACGGGUAGCCGGCCUGAGAGGGUGGACGGCCACAGUGGGACUGAGGGACGGCCCAGACGCCUACGGGAGGCAGCAGUGGGGAAGAUUGCACAAUGGGCGCAAGCCGGAUGCAGCGACGCCGCGGGGGGGAGGACGGCCUUCGGGUUGUAAACGCCUUUCGCUAGGGACGAAGCUUUUUGUGACGGUACCUAGAUAAGAAGCACCGGCUAACUACGUG
rnacentral:rRNA from 1 species